UGGUAGCCUAACCCUUGUAAAGAGUGUGAUU
rnacentral:piRNA from 1 species